GUACUUACUCCUACGGGAGGCAGCAGUGGGGAAUUUUGGACAGUGGGGGCAACCCUGAUCCAGCCAUGCCGCGUGAGUGAUGAAGGCCCUAGGGUUGUAAAGCUCUUUUGUGCGGGAAGAUAAUGACGGUACCGCAAGAAUAAGCCCCGGCUAACUUCGUGCCAGCAGCCGCGGUAAUACGAAGGGGGCUAGCGUUGCUCGGAAUCACUGGGCGUAAAGGGUGCGUAGGCGGGUCUUAAGUCAGGGGUGAAAUCCUGGAGCUCAACUCCAGGACUGCCUUUGAUACUGAGGAUCUUGAGUUCGGGAGAGGUGAGUGGAACUGCGAGUGUAGAGGUGAAAUUCGUAGAUAUUCGCAAGAACACCAGUGGCGAAGGCGGCUCACUGGCCCGAUACUGACGCUGAGGCACGAAAGCGUGGGGAGCAAACAGGAUUAGAAACCCCAGUAGUCCAGGCAU
rnacentral:rRNA from 1 species